ACGGGAGGCAGCAGUGGGGAAUAUUGGGCAAUGGGCGCAAGCCUGACCCAGCAACGCCGCGUGAAGGAUGAAGGUCUUCGGAUUGUAAACUUCUUUUAUGAGGGACGAAGGAAGUGACGGUACCUCAUGAAUAAGCCACGGCUAACUACGUGCCAGCAGCCGCGAUAAUACGUAGAUGGCAAGCGUUAUCCGGAUUUACUGGGUGUAAAGGGCGCGUAGGCGGGGAUGCAAGUCAGAUGUGAAAUCUAUGGGCUUAACUCAUAAACUGCAUUUGAAACUGUAUCUCUUGAGUGCUGGAGAGGUAGAUGGAAUUCCUUGUGUAGCGGUGAAAUGCGUAGAUAUAAGGAAGAACACCAGUGGCGAAGGCGAUCUACUGGACAGUAACUGACGCUGAGGCGCGUAAGCGUGGGGAGCAAACAGGAUUAGAUACCCUGGUA
rnacentral:rRNA from 1 species